rnacentral:misc_RNA from 1 species
CCAAUAGCGUAUAUUUAAGUUGUUGUGGUUAAAAAGCUCGUAGUUGAACCUUGGGCCUGGCUGGCCGGUCCGCCUCACCGCGUGUACUGGUCCGGCCGGGCCUUUCCCUCUGUGGAACCUCAUGCCCUUCACUGGGUGUGACGGGGAAGCAGGACUUUUACUGUGAAAAAAUUAGAGUGCUCCAAGCAGGCCUAUGCCCGAAUAAAUUAGCAUGGAAUAAAGAAAUAGGACGUGCGGUUCUAUUUUGUUGGUUUCUAGGACCGCCGUAAUGAUUAAUAGGGACAGUCGGGGGCAUCAGUAUUCAAUUGUCAGAGGUGAAAUUCUUGGAUUUAUUGAAGACUAACUACUGCGAAAGCAUUUGCCAAGGAUGUUUUCAUUAAUCAAGAACGAAAGUUAGGGGAUCGAAGACGAUCAGAUACCGUCGUAGUCUUAACCAUAAACUAUGCCGACUAGGGAUCGGAUGAUGUUAAUUUUUUAAUGACUCAUUCGGCGCCUUACG